GAGAUGUUAGUAAAACUAUUACACAGCCUUGUCAAGGCUGAAUUGCAGGUGAAAGCCCCGCACACCUCC
rnacentral:tRNA from 1 species